rnacentral:rRNA from 1 species
GUCCACGGCCACGCCACCCUGAACAUGCCCGACCCCGUCUGCUCUCGGAAGCUCAGCAGGGUCGGGCCUCGUGAGUACUUGGAUGGGAGACCACCCGGAAGACCGGGUGCUGUAGGCG